rnacentral:rRNA from 1 species
GACGAACGCUGGCGGCGUGCUUAACACAUGCAAGUCGAACGGAAAGGCCCUGCUUUUGUGGGGUGCUCGAGUGGCGAACGGGUGAGUAACACGUGAGUAACCUGCCCUUGACUUUGGGAUAACUUCAGGAAACUGGGGCUAAUACCGGAUAGGAGCUCCUGCUGCAUGGUGGGGGUUGGAAAGUUUCGGCGGUUGGGGAUGGACUCGCGGCUUAUCAGCUUGUUGGUGGGGUAGUGGCUUACCAAGGCUUUGACGGGUAGCCGGCCUGAGAGGGUGACCGGCCACAUUGGGACUGAGAUACGGCCCAGACUCCUACGGGAGGCAGCAGUGGGGAAUAUUGCACAAUGGGCGGAAGCCUGAUGCAGCAGCGCCGCGUGCGGGAUGACGGCCUUCGGGUUGUAAACCGCUUUCGCCUGUGACGAAGCGUGAGUGACGGUAAUGGGUAAGGAAGCACCGGCUAACUACGUG